UGUGGUAGAGUUCAGUGGUAGAGCGCAUGCUUAGCGUGCACGAGGUCCUGGGUUCAAUCCUUAGUACCUCCA
rnacentral:tRNA from 1 species